GCUUCGCGUCCCGCCUCUCGCCUGGCUGGCCGUGGGCGGCCUGGACGCGGUUCCCUUGUCCUCCCCGGCGGCCUCUCGAAUCUCCCAGGAAUCCUAAUGUCACCCGAGGAUGCUGGGAGGAACGCUGAGCCGACCUCUCCAUUGGGCUAAAGACUGCACAAACCAUGAUAAUGGCCAGCAAGGAUGGAGGGAGCGUAUGAGAUGUGCCGGGCAGUGUGCUACGUCUCAGCCAACUCUAGGAGCCUGUUGAUGUGAUGGACUACAUUAAUUGAUUUUUGAAUGUUGAGCCAGCCUUAUGUAUGUGGGAUAAAUCCCUGUGGAUCAUGGCUGGCUGGAGUGCAGUGGUGCAAUCAUGGCUCACUGCAACCUCGAAUUCCUGGGCUCAAGGGAUCCUCCUGCCUCAGCCUCCCAAGUAGCUAGGACCACAGUUCCUGCUGGAAUCUUGCUGUUGACCCUUCAAGUCUGGCGGUUCCUGUGUUUUGGAGUGGCCUUGCCUCUCCUGCUCUUAGCUCUGGAGGAGCGCUCGACUGGUGCUGCAGCGAACCUGUCAGAGUCGUCCUAACCAGAGUGCCCCCAUCCUGAAUAGAGGCUGGAUAAAGCCAAACCUGCUGGGUUCUAUUCCCAGGGGAUUGGGCAGUCCUGCUCACAAGAUAUUUAAGGUUGAGGGAAUAAGUUAGUGAGGCUAACUAAAUGAAGACCCUGAAUUCUUUCCCGUGAGAGAUCCAAGAACCCACUCUUGGUGUCUGGGACAAGACCCUUUUUCCAGUAACAAACCCCUGCCCUGGCUCUUUCUUCCUUCUGGCAAACUCAAAAAAAAAAAAAAAAUAGGCCUCAAAAAGAAUGCAUUAAUUUGAGAAGAAACUGCUGCAUAUGGCUACUAAGAGAAGCUGGGAUUUUCCUGAUUUUUAAUGUCAGUUUCAAAGAGAGCAGGUAUACUUUGCAGGAAGGGACCGUGCUAGCUGCAGAAUCAUAGUCAAGCUGGACCACACGUUUUUACACAGUGUGCAUGCUUUUGUUUUCCUGUCAACUUCUGUUGUUUUCAUCAAAAGCCAUCAACCUGCCUCAGCCAGGGCAUCAUAAUGUGCAUGCAACAGAAUGUUCCAAGAAACUUUCAGCGGAGACCCUAAGACCCUGGCCACGCAAUGCCAGAGUGAAGUGUGAGGACCGCAGCUGUGCAGGAUGUGCAGAAAGGAGGGGCAGAGAGCCAAUGAGAUGAUGUCCCACCCCUCACCUGUGUCAGUGGAGACCGAAGGAGACUUGGAGGGUGCUUUUGGAGAGAACUGCUGAUGUUUUGUGAGCCUCACUCUCUGUGUGCGUGGAAAUGCUGGAGGAUGAAACUGUCUAAGCUCUCCAGAAGUCCCGGGAAUGGAGUUUUAAUGGUAACGUGUGAUGGGAUGUGUGUUCUCUUACGGUAUGGGAGACGCAGAGGACUCACAGAGGACUCACCUCUGCCUCUUGACCAGGGAUCGGGAGAGAUGGGAGCUGCGCUGGUCAGCUGCUCUUCAGAGCUGGUGAAGGAGAGAUUUCUGCUGUGCUGGGAGGGGCCUAAAAAUACGCAUGGAUGGAGCCCAAGGACCAGGUGCAGAUCUUGUGCAAGAACGAACCAGGGAGUGACUUAGGUCCACCCAAAGACUGCCCACAGGGACAAAAGGCUACCAGUGAAAAGAAUCUGCAAAUGAACUGCCAGUUCCCCAGGGGCUGAGAUCUUAAUUUUGAGCAGGAGCAGAGUGUAUUACCUACAAGGAUACCACAGAUGAGAAAACCCCAGUUUUAAACGUUUGCUACAUCCAAAGAGAGCAAUGCAACUCUGGCAGCGGCAAAAAUAUUGUGCCUCUCCUUUCCUCACUCCUAAUUUCCCAUCCCAGAGAAGGGUCAGAAACCAUCUCCGGCAAGAUGGGAGGAAGGGUAGCAGCCAGACUGCAAAAAGGGAGAAGAAACCAGCUACCUCUUGCUGUUCUCAGCGGCAGACUCCCCACCUGCAAUAAGGUCAAGUCUGUUACCAGACGGAAGAGAUAGGACAUUUUUAAAUUCUAAGUAUAGAGCAAUAAAAGAAGUGAAGAAUUCAAGCAAAGGGAUCAGGGAGAGGAUUGCUACUAAGAGGCAGAGAAACCAGUGAAGCCUUUCACCAUCUCACACUAGAAAGACAACAAGUCAUAGAGGCUUGAUUUUUAUAAGGAAAGAGAAGUGAGAAACUGACCCCGAUACUUUGUUGGACUUGCCUGAAGACAUCUGCUGAAUUCUCAGGCUGUGCUGGGAUGGAGAUUAGAGGCCAGAUGAAAACCUCUGUUAAGUACUGC